rnacentral:rRNA from 1 species
GACGAACGCUGGCGGCGUGCUUAACACAUGCAAGUCGAACGGAAAGGCCCUGCUUUUGUGGGGUGCUCGAGUGGCGAACGGGUGAGUAACACGUGAGUAACCUGCCCGUGACUUUGGGAUAACUUCAGGAAACUGUGGCUAAUACCGGAUAGGAGCUCCUGCUGCAUGGUGGGGGUUGGAAAGUUUCGGCGGUUGGGGAUGGACUCGCGGCUUAUCAGCUUGUUGGUGGGGUAGUGGCUUACCAAGGCUUUGACGGGUAGCCGGCCUGAGAGGGUGACCGGCCACAUUGGGACUGAGAUACGGCCCAGACUCCUACGGGAGGCAGCAGUGGGGAAUAUUGCACAAUGGGCGGAAGCCUGAUGCAGCAACGCCGCGUGCGGGAUGACGGCCUUCGGGUUGUAAACCGCUUUCGCCUGUGACGAAGCGUGAGUGACGGUAAUGGGUAAAGAAGCACCGGCUAACUACGUG